UGGAAGGGCAGCGGGAGGCACUCACAUGUGUGCGCAGAGGGACGCGUGUGUCUGAGGAGGCUCCUGUGGGGAGCCUCACCCCGCCGUCCCCCACCCUCUCGGACCUACGUUAGGGAAAAGUCAGGAUCGCCGGGACCAGGGAGCCCGCUGCACCCAUCUCGCAGGGAGACAGUGAGGACUGGGAGCGAUGCCUACAAGGGCUCUGCGGUGCCCAUCUCUCAGUGAAUGGAGGUCACUGUUAGACGUUUUAGUGACCACCAAGAAGGUUCUGAGGCCCUCGCUGGUGCAGCUCAGUUGGUUGGGUGUUGGCCCUCAAAGCGAAACGUCGCUGGUUCGAUUCCAGGGUGCAUGAAAUCAAGGGAAGCAGUUAAAGCAUCCUGAGUUCAAACCCCAGCUCUGGCCCUUCACCAGCCGUGGGACUGGGCAGUGCCUGGGCCCCCCGUGAGCCUGGAAGCUGACUGGGGACACUGGGCCUGAGGUCCCCACGGCUCCGGUGGAUGUCGGCGAAGCAGAGCAGGCAGAGCGCCUGGAGUGGCCGGUCGCCGUGCUGCAGUGCGAUCUUCAUGGACUCCUGCGAGGGAGGCCCGUCACCCAGGCCUGCCCACCUGCCCCCACCAC